UACGUAGGGGGCAAGCGUUGUCCGGAUUUAUUGGGCGUAAAGAGCGUGUAGGCGGCCAUACAGGUCCGUUGUGAAAACUGGAGGCUUAACCUCCAGACGUCGAUGGAAACCGUAUGGCUAGAGUCCGGAAGAGGAGAGUGGAAUUCCUGGUGUAGCGGUGAAAUGCGCAGAUAUCAGGAAGAACACCCGUGGCGAAGGCGGCUCUCUGGGACGGUACUGACGCUGAGACGCGAAAGCGUAGGGAGCGAACAGG
rnacentral:rRNA from 1 species